CAAAGCCGCGAGGUGGAGCGAAUCUCCAAAAAUUGUCCCAGUUCAGAUUGCAGGCUGCAACUCGCCUGCAUGAAGUCGGAAUUGCUAGUAAUCGCGAAUCAGCAUGUCGCGGUGAAUACGUUCCCGGGCCUUGUACACACCGCCCGUCACACCAUGAGAGUUGGCAAUACCCAACGUACGUGAUCUAACCCGCAAGGGAGGAAGCGUCCUAAGGUAGGGUCAGCGAUUGGGGUGAAGUCGUAACAAGGUAAC
rnacentral:rRNA from 1 species